UACGGAGGGUGCAAGCGUUAAUCGGAAUUACUGGGCGUAAAGCGCACGCAGGUGGCUGAGAAAGUCGAUUGUGAAAGCCCUGGGCUUAACCGUGGAAGUGCAUGGGAAACUGCAGUGCUUGAGUACUUAAGAGGAUCGCGGAAUUCCCGGUGUAGAGGUGAAAUUCGUAGAUAUCGGGAGGAACACCAGUGGCGAAGGCGGCGAUCUGGGAAGAUACUGACGCUGAGGUGCGAAAGCGUGGGGAGCAAACAGG
rnacentral:rRNA from 1 species